rnacentral:tRNA from 1 species
GACUGGUUGGCUCAGUCUGCUGAGCGUCUGACUUUGGCUCAGGUCAUGAUCUCAUGGAUCGUGGGUUCGAGCCCCACGUCGGGCU